GACGAACGCUUGCGGCGUGCCUAAGAAAUGCAAGUCGAGCGAGUUCCAACCUUCGGGUGAAGAGCUAGCGGCGAACGGUCGCGUAACACGUAAGCAACCUGCCCUAAAAUGGGGGAUAGCCCGCCGAAAGGCGGAUUAAUACCGCAUGUGGAUACGACAUCUCCUGUUGUUGUAUUUAAAGCAGCAAUGCGUUUUAGGAUGGGCUUGCGGCCUAUCAGCUAGUUGGUGUGGGUAACGGCCCACCAAGGCGACGACGGGUAGCUGGUCUGAGAGGAUGGUCAGCCGGACUGGGACUGAGACACGGCCCAGACUCCUACGGGAGGCUG
rnacentral:rRNA from 1 species